rnacentral:rRNA from 1 species
AGAGUUUGAUCCUGGCUCAGGACGAACGCUGGCGGCGUGCUUAACACAUGCAAGUCGAACGGAAAGGCCCUUUCGGGGGUACUCGAGUGGCGAACGGGUGAGUAACACGUGGGUGAUCUGCCCUGCACUUCGGGAUAAGCUUGGGAAACUGGGUCUAAUACCGGAUAGGACCGCGGCAUGCAUGUGCUGUGGUGGGAAGUUUUUAACGGUGUGGGAUGGGCCCGCGGCCUAUCAGCUUGUUGGUGGGGUGAUGGCCUACCAAGGCGACGACGGGUAGCCGGCCUGAGAGGGUGUCCGGCCACACUGGGACUGAGAUACGGCCCAGACUCCUACGGGAGGCAGCAGUGGGGAAUAUUGCACAAUGGGCGCAAGCCUGAUGCAGCGACGCCGCGUGGGGGAUGACGGCCUUCGGGUUGUAAACCUCUUUCACCAUCGACGAAGGCCCGCUUUUGGUGGGUUGACGGUAGGUGGAGAAGAAGCACCGGCCAACUACGUGCCAGCAGCCGCGGUAAUACGUAGGGUGCGAGCGUUGUCCGGAAUUACUGGGCGUAAAGAGCUCGUAGGUGGUUUGUCGCGUUGUUCGUGAAAUUCCCUGGCUUAACUGGGGGCGUGCGGGCGAUACGGGCAGACUGGAGUACUGCAGGGGAGACUGGAAUUCCUGGUGUAGCGGGGAUGCGCAGAUAUCAGGAGGAACACCGGUGGCGAAGGCGGGUCUCUGGGCAGUAACUGACGCUGAGGAGCGAAAGCGUGGGGAGCGAACAGGAUUAGAUACCCUAGUAGUCC